rnacentral:rRNA from 1 species
GAGGAAAAGAAACCAACAGGGAUUGCCCUAGUAACGGCGAGUGAAGCGGCAACAGCUCAAAUUUGAAAUCUGGCUCUUUUAGGGUCCGAGUUGUAAUUUGCAGAGAGCGCUUUGGCGUUGGCAGCGGUCCAAGUUCUUUGGAACAGGACGUCACAGAGGGUGAGAAUCCCGUACGUGGUCGCUAGCCUUCGCCGUGUAAAGCCUCUUCGACGAGUCGAGUUGUUUGGGAAUGCAGCUCUAAAUGGGAGGUAAAUUUCUUCUAAAGCUAAAUACUGGCCAGAGACCGAUAGCGCACAAGUAGAGUGAUCGAAAGAUGAAAAGCACUUUGGAAAGAGAGUCAAAUAGCACGUGAAAUUGUUGAAAGGGAAGCGCUUGCAGCCAGACUUGCCUGUAGUUGCUUAUCCGGACUUUUGUCCGGUGCACUCUUCUGCGGGCAGGCCAGCAUCAGUUUAGGCGGUUGGAUAAAGGUCUCUAUCACGUACCUCCCUUCGGGGUUGGCCUUAUAGGGGAGACGACAUGCAGCCAGCCUGAACUGAGGUCCGCGCAUCUGCUAGGAUGCUGGCGUAAUGGCUGUAAGCGGCCCGUCUUGAAACACGGACCAAGGAGUCUAACAUCUAUGCGAGUGUUUGGGUGUCAAGCCCAGACGCGUAAUGAAAGUGAACGGAGGUGGGAACCUUUUAGGUGCACCAUCGACCGAUCCUGAUGUCUUCGGAUGGAUUUGAGUAAGAGCAUGGCUGUUGGGACCCGAAAGAUGGUGAACUAUGCUUGAAUAGGGUGAAGCCAGAGGAAACUCUGGUGGAGGCUCGCAGCGGUUCUGACGUGCAAAUCGAUCGUCAAAUUUGGGCAUAGGGGCGAAAGACUAAUCGAACAUCUU